CGGAUGCGGCGGAUGGACUGGAUCUGCGGCUGGAAGGCCGACCACUCGUUCCAGUGUCGGAAGUCUCCGGUCUCAAACAGUGCCACGAGGUGCUGCUGUGCUGUGAAGGUCACGAACACAGGGCUCCGAAAGCCGUGGCACCAGAACAGCCCCACGUCCCCCUUGGAUGGGGUUGUACCUGUUCUGCAGGCACCAACACGUAUUUUCCUAAUGGCAGGAGCCAUGCUCGGGUGCCACAGGCAGCACAACCACACACUGACUUCUGAGGCUCAGCUUGGUUGAGUCUGCUUUUCUUUCCCUAAGUAAAUCUGUGGGCGCAGUCUCACCACUGAUUCUCAAGGACACUCUGAGGACCCCAGUGACACACAAGUGCUCUGUUCCACCCUUUCCAUACCGAGUGCAGCUGCCUGCCCCUCACACCCAAGCUCCUUCAGGGCUGCUCCAACCCCUCUGUUUCAAGAAGAGUUGGAUGGUUUGGCUUCUCAAUAAAGAACUUGUUACUGGUGCUA